GGGACAGACAGACACAGCGUGUCUGCCAGUGUGGGGCAAUCUGGAGCACACGGCACCAUCCUUUAAGUAUUUUUGCAAAAAAAAAAAAUUGGCUAUAAGUAACAAAAGGAAUUGAGUUAGCAAAUUCCAGAGAAAAUGUAUAGACCAGACAGACUUCAUAGGAAGAGAACAAGAGUCAGGAGAAACAAGGACAGAAGUGUGGAAGGGCGGGCAUUCUUACGACCGCAAAAGGGAAACAAGCCAAGAACAUAGGAAGGCUCCAACUCAGUGGGGUUAAAGGUCAAGAUCUAAGGCCCAUUGUCGACUCCCGGUUACCCUGGCAACAAGGUCCCCACUUCCAUCGAAGGAAUCAUGCAACGAUUAGAAGCAGGGCAACACCUGGCGAGUGACCGAUGGCCCAGGAGGAGUUUGGGAAGGAUUUGAGCAGCAGACCAUGAAUGAAGCCGGCAAGGAGGAGAAUUGAUGCCUGGGGACACUGGACACACUCUACAGAAUUAACCCACUGUGGUAUUUCUGAAAUCAUUCUAUGCCGUAUAUUCAAGAAACAGGUCCUUCCCAUUGGCCUCAGAUUUCACCGUUAGGGAUUCAAGUCUUUGAGUUCUGGAGGCAUUCUCCCUUUGAAGAACCCCCUGUUAAUAGGUAAUUGCAAGAGAUCCUCAAAAAUAAAUGGAACUGUGGUCACAGAUUGAGAGAUGUGAUAUUGUUGACAAUACCAUCCAAAGCAACACACGGAUUCAAGGCAAUGUCUAUCAAAAUUCCCAUGGUAUUUUCUACAGAAAUGGAAAAAUUCAUCCUAAAAUUCACAUGGAAUUUCAAGGGACCCAGAAUAGCCAAAACAAUCUUGAAAAAGAAAAACAAAGUUAGAGGACACAUGUUUCCCAAUUUCAAAACUUGGUACAAAGAGUAAUCAAAACAGUGUGGUAUUUGCAUAAGAAUAGACAUAGAGACCAAUGAAUUAGAAUUGAGAGCCGAGAAAUCAAUGCUCACAGCUACAGCCAACUGAUUUUCAACAAGAGUGCCAAGAUCAUUCAAUGGGGAAAAAUGAUCUCUUCAACAGAUGGUGCUGAGAAAACCGGACAUCCACAGGCAAAGAAUGAAGUUGGACACUUACUUUACACCAUAUACAAAAAAUUAACUAAAAAUGCAUCAAAGACCUAAAUUUUAAGAGCUAAACUAUAAAACUGUUAGAAGAAAAUGUAAGGGAAAAUCUGCUUGACCUUGAACUUGGCAAUGUUUUCUUAAAUAUGACACCAAAAGCACAGGCAACAAAAGAAAAAAUAGAUAAAUUGGACUUCAUUAAGAUUAAACACUUUUGUGCAUCAAAGGACACUAGCGAGAGAGUGAAAAGACAACCCACAGAACGGGAGAAAAGAUUUGCAAAUCAUACAUCUAAAAUCAUAUAUAAAAAUCAUAUAUCUGGUUUAAAAUCCAGAAUAUAUAAAGAAGUCCAACAACUCAACCACAAAAAGGCGAAAACCCAAUUUUACAGUGGGCAACAAACUUGAAUAGACAUUUCUCCGAAGAAGAUAUACAAAUGGUCAAUAAGCACAUGAAAAGUUGCUUGACAUCGUUAGUCAUUAGGGAAAUGCAAAUCAAAACCGCAAUGAGAUGUCACUUCACACCAAUUAGGAUGGCUAUAAUUUUGGACAAUAGCAGUUAUUGGAGAGGGUGAGAAGAAAUCGGAACACUUGCACAUUGCUGUUGAGAUCAUAACAUGGUGCAGCCGCUGUGGAAGCAGCCUGGCAGUUCCUCAAAAAGUUACACAUCGAAUUUCCAUAUAAGCCAGCAAUUCCGCUCCUAGGUAUAGACCCAAAAGAUUUAAAAAGAGGCACUCAAACACAUGCUUGUCCAGGAGCGUUCGUAGCGGCACUGUUCACAACAGCCACAAGGUGGCAACAACCCAAGUGUCCAUCCACAGAGGAACGGAUAAACAAAUUGUGGUCUAUCCACAUAGUGGAAUAUAAUUCAGCCAUAAAAAGGAAUGAAAUGCAUGGGCUACAGCAUGGAUGAGCCUUGAGGGCCCGUGAACCCGCCCUGGCAUAGCUGAGGGCUGGGGGGCGCCGGGCAGCAGCUGGGCAUCUAGGUGUGCCCGGGGGAUGCACUGAAGAGAGGAGAGCAGGUGGAGGAUCGCACUGGGGUCAGGGCAGCUGAGGCGGACACUGUCGCUGUCCGAGCCGGCAACCAUUCCCAAUUCCUCCUCCCUUGCUGCUUCAUCACUGCUGAACAGUGGAGCCUGUUCCAGCCCCCACGCUGGCCAAUGGGACUUAAGGGGAAGUCUGCUGGGGGCUCCGAAACCUUUAGUUCUCCUGACAAAAGAGAAAGCCUUGGCUGGCCAGCACCACCCAGGGCUCCCUGACUUUGCCUCCAACACUCUGUCAAGUCUGCAGCUGCAAUAGCCAUUGAGCAAAGACAGGGGGCAAGCAUGAGACCCAAAAGCCAGCAGCCUGAGUAGGACAGUGCAGAAGUAGAAGCAUGGGCCCUCCACGACACACCAGCCAGCACCCGCCCCCUCCAGACUUCCCGUCACCGAGAACAUCCCCGGCCGAGCCAGGUACCCAACAUCCCUCCCCAGCGCCAGGAACUCCUCCCCCAGACUCCUCCCCCGGACUCCUCCCCGAAACAAGGCCUGUCUCCUCUCAGUGCUACUGCCACCAAAGCCACUCUCUUGUCACCCCCCAACGCCACUGUCCUCCUAUAUAACACACACCCACACCUCUCCCCAGCCUGAGCCCCGCCUCAGCCAGGCCCAGCUCAGGCCAAACGCCAGCUCACAGCAUUCUCAAGGGCUCCUGGGAGAUGCUGCCAGACCAAGCACACGGGACCACACCCCCUGCCCCAUUCUGCGCUCAGCCAUGGCCACCCUGGGCUCAGCUCCAUGCAUCCUGUCCAGGAAGGAGACGACAGAGCUGCUGAUGGUGACUGUCCCGUGCAUCUGGCACGGAGCUUUUCCUUCACUGCACAUCUGAUUCUUGCCUACAAGGUAGAUACUUUAUCUCCAUCUGACAGAGGGGGAAGCCGACGCUCAGAGCAGCUCUCUCGCCGGAGGUCACCGCCCGGGUCUUGACCAGGAAGCAUCCCCGUGCUCACUCCUGGGCCCCACAGGAGGAGACUGGAUUCCCGCUCAGCGGAUGCCGGGGAGCCUCAUGGAGCAACAAGGCUCCAGGUCCUUCUUCCCCUCCCUGCUCUGCGUCCUGCAGCAAACAGCCUGGACAGGCCCAGCGCAAGGCAGAAACUCCAUCAGCAAAGCUGAUUCUAGGGCCCUGCUCUUUCAGAGCUGUUCAGAGUCAAAAUGUCCCCGUUACCAGGCAACGCUGCUCAGCUGGAUUUAGAACACUGGAAAGCCUGGAACCCACCAUGGCUGCAAUAUCUGAGCGAACGGGGAGGGAGGGGGCGCUGCUGCUGGCUCGGUGGUCCAGUUGGGCCCAGGUGAAAGGCUGGGAUAAGAGCUGCCUCUAGGCUCUGAGCACUCACUUCCCUCGGGCCAAGAGUAGGGUGAGUGCCCUGUCGCCCUCAAUCCUCAACAUUGCCGUCUAGCUUGAUACCAUUGUUCUCACUUUACAAAUAAGGAAACUGAGGCCCGUGAAGUCACACCCCUGGCCCAAGGGCCCACAGCAGAUGAAACCCAGAUUCGGUUUUCCACCCAGAAUGUUGAAAGCUAUGCCUCCCACAGGGCUGACCCUUGGGCCACGCCAGGAUCGUCCUCAGCAAGUUCCAGCCAGUGGACCGCAAGGAGACUGACACGUCGCUUCCGAGCUGAGCCAGUUGAGAGCUGCCGGUGGGAGACGGAGAGAGCUGCUCCAUCUCAGUCCUCCCGACCACACGGACCCCGGGGGCCAUGUGCUCUAAAUGGAGGAGGGCUGCCCGUCCUCACGAGCCUUUAGGUGAGUGAGGAGCCAGCCUGGAUGGCGUUUAACCACCGAGACUCCAGGUUUGUCUGUUAUGGCAGCUGGUGUUAAAUACCCCGACACAUUCAGACCCCAGAGUUAGAAGAGAGCAAAGCAACUUGGUAUAUAGGAAGUGAUGGAAUGUCAUGCUUUCAAUAAAAAGUAAGCUGGCUAACAUUUAGUGAAGUUAUUACGAACCAGACAUCGUUCUAAGAACUCUAUGUUCGUUAAAUCACUUAGUCCGCAUCUUCCGUACCUGUGGGACAGGGAUCUAUUAUCAUCAUUCCCAUCUUACAGAUGGGAAAACAGAGGCACAGAGACGGGCGGUAACUUCCCAAGAUCACACAGCUGGGAAGGGUUGAAGCCAGGAUUUCAGCUCAGACAGCCAGACUCCAGGGUCCACGUGUUCAUCCCUUAUCUAAAGAUGGCCAGCGCAGGAUCCACUGAAAAGCUGCUGUGGGGGUGUGCAGGGCACGCCCGGGAUCUGUCGGGUCCUGCAGUCACAGCGAAGCCGCUGAGGGGGAGGGUGAAGGGGCAAUGGGGGGUGCUCAGGUCUCAGUUACUCCUCAACUGGGUAUCUGUGACAGACUGAGUAACGGCCCCCCAAAGACGCCCACAUCCUGAUCCCCACAGCCUAUAAAUGUGUGACCUUACAUGGCCAAAGGGACUCUGCAGACGUGAUUAAGCCAAGGAUCUCGAGAUGACGGGAUUAUCCUGGAUUCUCUGGGUGGAACCAAUGUCCACACCAGGCUCCUUAGGAGAGGGGGACAGGAGGUCAGGGUGAGAAAAGAUGAUGUGACAACGGAAGCAGAGAGCGAGGUUGGAAGAUGCUACGCUGCUGGCUUUGAGGAUGGAGGAAGGGGCCACAAGCCAAGGAAUGCAGGCAGCCUCUAGAAGGUGGAAAUGGCAAGGGAACAGAUUCUCGCUCGAAGCCUCCAGAAUGAACACAGACCUGCCCACACCUUGGUUUUAGGACUUCUGGCCUCCAGAACCGUAAGAGAAGAAAUCUGUGUUGUUUGAAGUCACCAAGUCUGAGGCCGUCUGUCGCAGCAGCAACAGGACACGCACACAGUGGCCUUGGCAAGGCCCCUUUGAGCUUGCAGGCCUCCAGGGCCUCAUCUGUACGAUAAGGAGAGUGACGUCUUCUCCCUGGCCUGUGGGGAGACUUAAACAAGAUAAUAAAGCGUGAAAAGCCUUGGGAAGUGUCCCACGAAUGAGGAUGGAAUUUCAGUCCACUUCAGCACAUGCGUGACCUCUCUCUGGCUGUUAGCUCUGGGGUCAAUGCUCCUCCUCCCACCACACUCGGUGCUGGGGGAUCUCCUGGCAUGUCCUCCAUGGUCUCCCCCUGCAGACUCAGCUUCUAGAGGAACGGCAGAUGGCUGGCCAGGGGUCAGUGGAUUGGCCAGAGCUCAGGCGGCCGUGGGACAGAACCAGAGUGUCACAUCAGAGAAGACAACAGCUCGUGGUGGCCACUUCUUCCUCUGCAGCUGGCCCGCCCUGUCUACCGGAUCAGGUGGGGUCCUCCAGGUGGCUUGUUAACUAUUGAGGGCACGGGGCAAGCCAGGAAAGCUAAUCGCACCAAGGGGCUCCAGCCAACCCUCAACACACUUGCCUUCCGUUAUGGCCUCUGGCUUCUGCAGAGGGUCAGUCUUCCAGGAGUUCACUCCUCAGCAUUCCAACAGCAUCCAGCACAGCCGGCACAGUUGGCUGCCUACCCACCAGUCACUCCUCCCUUUCUGCCUGCUCCCCCGGAUCCACCCAUUCCCAGGGCAUGAGUUUUGGUUGGUCUAAGCCAG
ensembl:lncRNA